CCCUCUUAGUAGUAAACCAGCUCUCUUAGCAGUAGAUCUAGCCCUCCCAACAGCAGAACUAGCUCUCCAAGCAGUGGAUCUAAUCCUUGUUGUAGCAUCCCUUCCAUCGGAAGUAGAUCUACCUCUCCCAAUAACAUCAUGUGCAUGUGCAGCCCUUCCAGUGCCAGCAAUAACUCUGCCUACAACUCCUAUACUUGCAACACCCCCAUAUAGUGUAGGCCUCCCAACACAAGCCCUUUCAACUGCAGCCCUCCUGCCACCAGUAUGACUGUUCUCAACAACAGCACCAUCCAUUUAUGGAGCCUCAAUCCCAGC
rnacentral:lncRNA from 1 species